rnacentral:rRNA from 1 species
UAGAGUUUGAUCCAUGGCUCAGGAUGAACGCUGGCGGCGUGCCUUAUGCAUGCAAGUCGGACGGUUCUUCUUUUCGGAGAAGGACAGUGGCGAACGGGUGAGUAACACGUAGGUAACCUGCCCUGAAGUGGGGGAUAAUCCGUCGAAAGGCGGACCAAUACCGCAUGUGAUGGUGCCUCACAAGAGGGACCAGAAAAGCCCUCGGGUGCUUCAGGAGGGGCCUGCGUCCGAUUAGCUAGUUGGUGAGGUAACGGCCCACCAAGGCGAGGAUCGGUAGCUGGUCUGAGAGGAUGGUCAGCCACACUGGGACUGAGACACGGCCCAGACUCCUACGGGAGGCAGCAGCAAGGAAUAGUAGGCAAUGGGCGAAAGCCUGACCUCGCGACGCCGCGUGAGGGAAGAAGGCCUUCGGGUUGUAAACCUCUUUUCUUCGGGGAAGAAUCAUGACGUACCCGAGGAAUAA